rnacentral:rRNA from 1 species
CUGCUCAAUGAUUUUUUAAAUUGCUGUGGUAUUUUGACUAUACAAAGGUAUUGUAAUAAGAUUUUAAUUGAAUGCUAAAAGAAUGGAAAUUUAAAAAAAAACUUUUUUAAAAAUAAAAAUUGAAUUUUUUUUAAUUUGUGCAAAAACAAUUAUACUUAUUAAAGACAAGAAGACCCUAAGAAUUUAAGAUUUUACAAUUAAAAAGUUUUUUUUUAAAAUCUUGAUUGGGGCGAUCAAAAAAUAUUAAUAACUUUUUAAAAUUUAAAUUGAUCUAUUAUUAAUAAACUAAUGAAUUAAAUACUCUAGGGAUAACAGCGUAAUAAUUUUUGAUAGAUCUUAUUGACAAAAUAGUUUGCGACCUCGAUGUUGGAUUAGGAUUCUUUUUUAAUGAAGAAGUUAAAAAAAGAAGUUUGUUCAACUUUUAAAUUCCUACUUGAUCUGAGUUCAGACCGG